rnacentral:rRNA from 1 species
UUCUUGAUUCUGUGGGUGGUGGUGCAUGGCCGUUCUUAGUUGGUGGAGUGAUUUGUCUGCUUAAUUGCGAUAACGAACGAGACCUUAACCUGCUAAAUAGCCCGUACUGCUUUGGCAGUUCGCCGGCUUCUUAGAGGGACUAUCGGCUCAAGCCGAUGGAAGUUUGAGGCAAUAACAGGUCUGUGAUGCCCUUAGAUGUCCUGGGCCGCACGCGCGUUACACUGACAGAGCCAGCGAGUAUUUCCUUGACCGGAAGGUCCGGGUAAUCUUGUUAAACUCUGUCGUGCUGGGGAUAGAGCAUUGCAAUUAUUGCUCUUCAACGAGGAAUCCCUAGUAAGCGCAAGUCAUCAGCUUGCGUUGAUUACGUCCCUGCCCUUUGUACACACCGCCCGUCGCUACUACCGAUUGAAUGGCUCAGUGAGACCUCCGGACUGGCCCAGAGAGGUGGGCAACUACCACUCA